AGGAUGCAAUGGAGAACAUUUACAGAGGACUGUGGGUAAAGCAAAGUCUUCAAGGGAAGAUAACAAAGGAUGAAACAAUGGUGUUGUGUGACUUCCUAGUGUGAAUCAUGGCAAUACAGUGAAAGACAGUGAUUUACUGCUUUUGAGGGCGUGCAUGUAUAUGAUUAACGGAUGGAAGUGCAGGACUCCAAGAUUUACUUCCUUCCCUUUCCAGCAGAAUUACCUGAGACGAGUAAAAUCUACUGGUGGAGUCACUCCAUUAUUCUUAUCUGUGGAGAUCUAGAUCUUGAUUUGAAAGUUUCUGAGAAAAUCUUCAGCUCAGACUUGAGGGUCAACUUUACCAGCUGAAGUGACUACAUCCUGCCUGCUUUCAGCUCCAGUGGAAAAUGCAUUAAUCCCAGAGUCUCCGUGAGGUUUCCUGUUUGAUGACAUAAUCAGAAAAUCCUCCUCACAUUGCCCUUGGGGUUGCUGUCUGGAUGUUAUGUUGUCUUGGAUCUGCAUUUACUGCUCAACCACAUCUAAUUUGAUGUCCUCUGCAGAUUUAAAAUGUGUGCCUUCUUUUCCGUCACCAAGUCAUCCCUGGGUUACUACUGAACAUCCUUCUCAAUUCCCCCCGACCCAUGGAUGGCUGUUCUCCAUUGUCUGUUUCACCAGAUGUCCUCAAAACAAACAGACAGAAGAAGGAAGUGGCUAAUGGAGCUGUGGAGUCCAAGUGUGACUGCCAAGAGGAAUCCAGCAAAGCCAAAAAGCCCAAGCAUGUAGCCCUGCCCGAAGCACGCCACACGCAUGGAAAACCCAGAGGAAAUGAGUGAGGAUCAAUGGGAAGAAGAGAGCCAGCCAGCUCUGUAUUCUAAGAACCUGGAAACAAUCUUUAUUCACACUGUUAAGACGAUUGAGAAAAAUGGAUGGAUAGAGUUUAUUUGCUAAGAGAAAAACUGAGUGACUACCUAGCUACCUCACUCCUUUUUGCUCUAUUGGAAGUUGAAGAUUUGUCCAGGAGCAGAUAGCUGAAGAGAGAGAGAGAGAAGAGAGAACGGCUUACAGCUCAGGUCCUCUCUCCAUGCUUAGGAACCACUACAAAUGCUACUGCCUUGAGUCUCAUUUUGUUUCCCUCUGGAAACCACAUGUGUACCUUGUUUGCAACAGUAUGGGCUCACAGGCAGAAGGAAUUUUCCUUGUCUUGGAUGAGACUUUUGACUUGGACUUUUGGGUUAAGGAUUUACAGAAAGCGUGGUGCUGGCAUCUGAUCAGCUUCUGGGGUGGCCUCAGGAAGCUUACAAUCAUGGUGGCAUUUGAAGUGGAAGCGAGAGAGAGAAGAGGAGAUGCAACACACUUUUAAACAAGAUUUCAGGAGAACUCAUUCACUAUGUUCUGGAGACCAGAAGGCCAAAAUCAAAAGUAUGGGCAGGCUUGAUUUCUUUAGAAGACUCCAGCGGAGAACUGUGUCUCCUUGCUUCUGAUUCUACAUCUCCAUCCAUGGGCCACUGUUUCAGCAACCUCAGCCAGUGCAACACAACCUCAGCCAAGAAGAGUAUGCAGAGAAAGGAGUCCCCUACCUGCCACAAAACUGUUGUCUGAAAACUGUCUCAUAUUGUCUCAAGUUGUCAUUCAUUGUGAAUUAGACCUGUUUAACAUGUAAUCUGC
ensembl:lncRNA CASC15 cancer susceptibility 15